CCCUGAUCUUCCUAUCUGCAAAAUAGGUAUAAUAAUAUCUAUCUUGGAAGAGUUUUAUGAGGAAAAAAAGAAAAGAACAAAAGGCUCUAUAGUUACCUCAGAUGUAGUAGACAUUUCAUGUAUUAUUGUCACUGAUGUUUUAGCUUUUGACUUCUGGAAUUUUUCUCCUCUAUCUCUUUCCCUUCUUUAAAUAACAACAGUUGAACUGGAAGAUUUGAGAAGCUUUUUCCAGUUUCUAAAUUCUGGGGAAACAAAGUUUAAACACCAUGCACUGGAUUCUAAUGUUAUAUGCUGUCUCAAUGGGUUAAAAGGAUCCAGAAUUUUUUAAGUCAAAUUGUUUUGUUUUGUUUUUUUAAACAUUUCUCUCCCAUCUUAUAAAUGCUUUAUUUAUUUUCUUCUUUUCCUUUACCGUGUAUAUGUUUUAUAAUUUGAUGACAUUGUACUUAUCAAUUCUUGGUUUUAUUUCUUAAGCUUUAGGAGUCUUAUUAAGGAAGUUGAUGUCAUUGCUGAUAUGUUGAAGUCUUUUUUUUUUAAGAGAGAGAGAGAGAGAGAGAAUUUCUUCAAUAUU
rnacentral:lncRNA from 1 species